rnacentral:rRNA from 1 species
UGGGGAAUAUUGGACAAUGGGGGAAACCCUGAUCCAGCGAUGCCGCGUGAGUGAUGAAGGCCUUCGGGUUGUAAAGCUCUUUUAUCCGGGAAGAUAAUGACGGUACCGGAAGAAUAAGCUCCGGCUAACUUCGUGCCAGCAGCCGCGGUAAUACGAAGGGAGCUAGCGUUGUUCGGAAUUACUGGGCGUAAAGGGCGUGUAGGUGGUUCUAUAAGCAAGAUGUGAAAUCCCUGGGCUUAACCUAGGAAUGGCAUUUUGGACUGUAGGACUCAGUGUGCGAGAGGGGAAAGUGGAAUGGCGAGUGGAGCAGUGAAAUGCGUUGAUAUUCGUUGGAACACCAGAGGCGAAGGCGACUUUCUGGCUCGACACAGACGCUGAGGUGCGAAAGCGUGGGAGCAAACAGGAUUAGAUACCCAAGUAGUCCCUGAGCGGGCUGGCAAGGCGCAU